AGAAUCAACGCUGGCGGCGCGCUUAACACAUGCAAGUCGCACGAGAAAGGGAGCAAUCCUGAGUAAAGUGGCGUACGGGUGAGUAACACGUGGAUCAUCUACCUUUUAGUGGGGAAUACCCCUGGGAAACUGGGGACAAUACCGCAUAAGCUCGUGAGAGGAAAGCAAGCAAUUGCGCUGAAAGAGGAGUCCGCGGCUGAUUAGCUAGUUGGUGAGGUAACGGCCUACCAAGGCGACGACGGGUA
rnacentral:rRNA from 1 species